rnacentral:rRNA from 1 species
UACGUAUGGUGCAAGCGUUAUCCGGAUUUACUGGGUGUAAAGGGUGCGUAGGCGGUAAGGCAAGUCAGAAGUGAAAACCUGGGGCUCAACCCCGGGACUGCUUUUGAAACUGUCUAACUAGAGUAUGGGAGAGGAAAGCGGAAUUCCUAGUGUAGCGGUGAAAUGCGUAGAUAUUAGGAGGAACACCAGUGGCGAAGGCGGCUUUCUGGACCAAAACUGACGCUGAGGCACGAAAGCGUGGGGAGCAAAC